AUCAACAGGUUCGAUUGCGUGAUGUCCUCCACAGUGAUACAAAGUUUACCCUAGUAUUUGAGCACUGUGACCAGGAUUUGAAGAAAUACUUUGAUAGACAGUGAGCAAGUCCAAUCACUGAUGUAUCAACUUUUAAGAGGUCUUGCAUUCUGCCACAGUAAAAGUGUUUUGCACAGAGAUCUCAAACCUCAAAACUUGUUGAUUAAUAAGAGACACUUGUAAAGAACUGUGAUUUGCAUCACCAGAUGAGCCUCUUGUUUUCUCAAAGUUUUCUAAUUCAAUCACUGGACCCUUUUGACUCAAUAAAGAAUCCUGACAUUUCAAAGGUUGAACUGUACACAAAUUUUCAUGUCUGCACUCAGUCUUUCAAGAAUUUUUAAUAAUUUAAGUGUUUCUAUUUACUUUGACAGGAGGUAUUUUGGGAAGCCGAACUGGCCGUUGUUUUGGGGAAAAAAGGAAAGAAUAUUGAAUUUAGUUAAGCAAAAGAUUACGUUUUCGGCUACACAGUUGCGAACGACUUGACUGCACUCGACUGGCACAAGGAAAAAAAAACGGUGGUCGGUGGCUACUCGGGAAAACAAUGGAUGGCUUCUGUCCCAUAGGGCCAGACAUCCUUACAGCUGACAAAGUUCCCGACCCACAUAACUUGAAAAUUUCAUGUAGCGUCAAUGGCCAUA